rnacentral:misc_RNA from 1 species
AACGCACCUUGCGCCCUUUGGUAUUCCGAAGGGCAUGCCUGUUUGAGUGUCAUUAUAUUCUCAACCUUGCAAAGCUUGCUUUGCUAGGCUUGGAUGUGAGGGCUUUGCUGGCUUCCAUUGAGUUGGAUGGUCUGCUCCCUUCAAAUUUAUUAGUGGGAUCCUUUGUGGAUGGUCACUUGGUGUGAUAAUUAUCUACGCCGCCUGACUGUGAAGCAAAACUUGUGGGGACCUGCUUAUAACUGUCUCUUUGGGGACUAUCUUUGACUAUUUGACCUCAAAUCAGGUAGGACUACCCGCUGAACUUAA